rnacentral:lncRNA from 1 species
UAAGGGGGUGUUUGGUACGUCGGAAUAGGGAAUGAAAAUAAUAUUUUAUUUCCUUUCCUAUUUCUUAGUGGAAUGGAAUGAAUUUGAUGAUUCCAUUUCUAGCAUUUGGAUGAACUUAGGAAUGCAAGAUUGGAAUGAUUAUUUGUUUCCAUUCCAAUGUUUGAUAAUAAUAGGAAUGGAAAUGAAAAAGAAAUAAAUUUACAAUAAUAUCCUUACAUAUAAUUUAAAAUAUUUUUUU